GAUGAACGCUGGCGGCGUGCCUAACACAUGCAAGUCGAGCGAUUCUCUUCGGAGAAGAGCGGCGGACGGGUGAGUAACGCGUGGGUAACCUGCCCUGUACACACGGAUAACAUACCGAAAGGUAUGCUAAUACGGGAUAAUAUAUUUUAGUCGCAUGGCUGAGAUAUCAAAGCUCCGGCGGUACAGGAUGGACCCGCGUCUGAUUAGCUAGUUGGUGAGGUAAUGGCUCACCAAGGCGACGAUCAGUAGCCGACCUGAGAGGGUGAUCGGCCACACUGGAACUGAGACACGGUCCAGACUCCUACGGGAGGCAGCAGUGGGGAAUAUUGCACAAUGGGCGAAAGCCUGAUGCAGCAACGCCGCGUGAGCGAUGAAGGCCUUCGGGUCGUAAAGCUCUGUCCUCAAGGAAGAUAAUGACGGUACUUGAGGAGGAAGCCCCGGCUAACUACGUGCCAGCCGCCGCAGUAAUAC
rnacentral:rRNA from 1 species